rnacentral:rRNA from 1 species
UACGUAGGGGGCAAGCGUUGUCCGGAAUCAUUGGGCGUAAAGAGCGUGUAGGCGGCUUGGUAAGUCCGCUGUGAAAGUUCGGGGCUCAACCCUGAAUCGGCCGUCGAUACUCCUGGGCUCGAGCACUGUAGAGGCAGAUGGAAUUCCGGGUGUAGCGGUGGAAUGCGUAGAGAUCCGGAAGAACACCGGUGGCGAAGGCGGUCUGCUGGGCAGUUGCUGACACUGAGGCGCGACAGCGUGGGGAGCAAACAGG